GGCGAGUGAAGAGGAAAGAGCUCAAAGUUGGAACCUGUUUGGCCUAGCUAAACCGGAUUGUAGACUGUAGAAGUGUUUUCCAGGCAAGCCGAGUAAAUAAGUCCUUUGGAACAGGGCAUCAUAGAGGGUGAGAAUCCCGUCUUUGGCUUGAGCAUUUGCCUUUUGUGAUACGCUUUCAAAGAGUCAGGUUGUUUGGGAAUGCAGCCUAAAUUGGGUGGUAAAUCUCACCUAAAGCUAAAUAUUGGCGAGAAACCGAUAGCGAACAAGUACCGUGAGGGAAAGAUGAAAAGAACUUUGAAAAGAGAGUUAAACAGUAUGUGAAAUUGUUAAAAGGGAACCGUUUGGAGCCAGACUGGCUUGUCUGUAAUCAAUCUAGGCUUCGGCCUGGAUGCACUUGCAGGCUAUGCCUGCCAACGACAAUUUGACUUGAGGGAAAAAACUAAGGGAAAUGUGGCCCACUUGUGGGUGUUAUAGUCCCUUAGAAAAUACCUUGGGUUGGAUUGAGGAACGCAGCGAAUGCUUUUUGGCGAGUUUUCCAGGAAGGUUUUCUGAGGUACUACGGUAUCAAGGUUGAUCUUUUUGGUUAUACUUCUAUUCGCUUAGGUUGUUGGCUUAAUGACUCUAAAUGACCCGUCUUGAAACACGGACCAAGGAGUCCACCAUUAGUGCGAGUAUUUGGGUGCCAAACCCAUAUGCGUAAGGAAACUGAUUGAUACGAAUCCAUUAAGGAGGCAGUAUCGUCCGGCGCUGACGUUUUAUACUGAAUUGACCGAGACAAAGCACUAAUGAUGGGACCCGAAAGAUGGUGAACUAUGCCUGAAUAGGUGAAGCCAGAGGAAACUCUGGUGGAGGCUCGUAGCGAUUCUGACGUGCAAUCGAUCGUCAAAUUUGGGUAUAGGGGCGAAAGACUAAUCGAACCAUCUAGUAGCUGGUCUGCG
rnacentral:rRNA from 1 species